rnacentral:snoRNA from 1 species
UCUCUGCAGUGAUGAUCAAUCUUUGCAUGUUAGACUAUGGAGAUGGUUCUUACCGUCCAUGAAUAACAACUUAUUUCUGAGCAGAGA